rnacentral:rRNA from 1 species
AUUGAACGCUGGCGGCAGGCCUAACACAUGCAAGUCGAACGAGUGGCGGACGGGAGAGUAAUGUCUGGGCAACUGACUGAUGGAGGGGGAUAACUACUGGAAACGGAAGCUAAUACCGCAUACCUUAAGAUGGGCCCAGAUGGGAUUUGCUAGGUGGUGGGGUAACGGCUCACCAAGGCGACGAGCCCUAGCUGGUCUGAGAGGAUGACCAGUCAAACUGGAACUGAGACACGGUCCAGACUCCUACGGGAGGCAGCAGUGGGGAAUAUUGCACAAUGGGCGCAAGCCUGAUGCAGCCAUGCCGCGUGUAUGAAGAAGGCCUUCGGAUUGUAAAGUACUUUCAGCGGGGAGGCGUUACCAACAGAAGAAGCACCGGCUAACUCCGUGCCAGCAGCCGCGGUAAUUC